GACGAACGCUGGCGGCGUGCUUAACACAUGCAAGUCGAACGGAAAGGCCCUGCUUUUGUGGGGUGCUCGAGUGGCGAACGGGUGAGUAACACGUGAGUAACCUGCCCUUGACUUUGGGAUAACUUCAGGAAACUGGGGCUAAUACCGGAUAGGAGCUCCUGCUGCAUGGUGAGGGUUGGAAAGUUUCGGCGGUUGGGGAUGGACUCGCGGCUUAUCAGCUUGUUGGUGGGGUAGUGGCUUACCAAGGCUUUGACGGGUAGCCGGCCUGAGAGGGUGACCGGCCACAUUGGGACUGAGAUACGGCCCAGACUCCUACGGGAGGCAGCAGUGGGGAAUAUUGCACAAUGGGCGGAAGCCUGGUGCAGCAACGCCGCGUGCGGGAUGACGGCCUUCGGGUUGUAAACCGCUUUCGCCUGUGACGAAGCGUGAGUGACGGUAAUGGGUAAAGAAGCACCGGCUAACUACGUG
rnacentral:rRNA from 1 species